UAGGGAAUCUUCCGCAAUGGACGCAAGUCUGACGGAGCAACGCCGCGUGAGUGAAGAAGGAUUUCGGUUCGUAAAACUCUGUUGUUAGAGAAGAACAGCGCAUAGAGUAACUGUUAUGCGUGUGACGGUAUCUAACCAGAAAGCCACGGCUAACUACGUGCCAGCAGCCGCGGUAAUACGUAGGUGGCAAGCGUUGUCCGGAUUUAUUGGGCGUAAAGCGAGCGCAGGCGGUCAAUUAAGUCUGAUGUGAAAGCCCCCGGCUCAACCGGGGAGGGUCAUUGGAAACUGGUUGACUUGAGUGCAGAAGAGGAGAGUGGAAUUCCAUGUGUAGCGGUGAAAUGCGUAGUUAUAUGGAGGAACACCAGUGGCGAAGGCGACUCUCUGGUCUGUAACUGACGCUGAGGUUCGAAAGCGUGGGUAGCAAACAGG
rnacentral:rRNA from 1 species